rnacentral:rRNA from 1 species
GACGAACCGUACGAACGUUAUUCGGAAUCACUGGGCUUAAAGGGUGCGUAGGCUGCGCAGCAAGUUGGGUGUGAAAUCCCUCGGCUUAACCGAGGAACUGCGCCCAAAACUGCUGUGCUCGAGGGAGACAGAGGUGAGCGGAACUUAGGGUGGAGCGGUGAAAUGCGUUGAUAUCCUAAGGAACACCGGUGGCGAAAGCGGCUCACUGGGUCUCUUCUGACGCUGAGGCACGAAAGCUAGGGGAGCAAAUGGG